AGUGAACGCUGGCGGUAGGCCUAACACAUGCAAGUCGAACGGCAGCACAGUAAGAGCUUGCUCUUACGGGUGGCGAGUGGCGGACGGGUGAGGCAUACAUCGGAAUCUACUUUUUCGUGGGGGAUAACGUAGGGAAACUUACGCUAAUACCGCAUACGACCUACGGGUGAAAGCAGGGGAUCUUCGGACCUUGCGCGAUUGAAUGAGCCGAUGUCGGAUUAGCUAGUUGGCGGGGUAAAGGCCCACCAAGGCGACGAUCCGUAGCUGGUCUGAGAGGAUGAUCGGCCACACUGGAACUGAGACACGGUCCAGACUCCUACGGGAGGCAGCAGUGGGGAAUAUUGGACAAUGGGCGCAAGCCUGAUCCAGCCAUACCGCGUGGGUGAAGAAGGCCUUCGGGUUGUAAAGCCCUUUUGUUGGGAAAGAAAAGCAGCAGGUUAAUCCCCCGCUGUUCUGACGGUACCCAAAGAAUAAGCACCGGCUAACUUCGUG
rnacentral:rRNA from 1 species